GGGUUGUGAGGUUAAGCGACUAAGCGUACACGGUGGAUGCCCUGGCAGUCAGAGGCGAUGAAGGACGUGCUAAUCUGCGAUAAGCGUCGGUGAGGUGAUAUGAACCGUUAUAACCGGCGAUUUCCGAAUGGGGAAACCCAGUGUGUUUCGACACACUAUCAUUAACUGAAUCCAUAGGUUAAUGAGGCGAACCGGGGGAACUGAAACAUCUAAGUACCCCGAGGAAAAGAAAUCAACCGAGAUUCCCCCAGUAGCGGCGAGCGAACGGGGAGGAGCCCAGAGCCUGAAUCAGUGUGUGUGUUAGUGGAAGCGUCUGGAAAGGCGUGCGAUACAGGGUGACAGCCCCGUACACAAAAAAAAAAAUGCACAUAUUGUGAGCUCGAUGAGUAGGGCGGGACACGUGGUAUCCUGUCUGAAUAUGGGGACCAUCCUCCAAGGCUAAAUACUCCUGACUGACCGAUAGUGAACCAGUACCGUGAGGGAAAGGCGAAAAGAACCCCGGCGAGGGGAGUGAAAAAAAACCUGAAACCGUGUACGUACAAGCAGUGGGAGCCUCUUUAUGGGGUGACUGCGUACCUUUGUAUAAUGGGUCAGCGACUUAUAUUCUGUAGCAAGGUUAACCGAAUAGGGGAGCCGAAGGGAAACCGAGUCUUAACUGGGCGUUAAGUUGCAGGGUAUAGACCCGAAACCCGGUGAUUCUAGCCAUGGGCAGGUUGAAGGUUGGGUAACACUAACUGGAGGACCGAACCGACUAAUGUUGAAAAAAUUAGCGGAUGACUUGUGGCUGGGGGGUGAAAGGCCAAUCAAACCGGGAGAUAGCUGGUUCUCCCCGAAAGCUAUUUAGGUAGCGCCUCGUGAAUUCAUCUCCGGGGUAGAGCACUGUUUCGGCAAGGGGUCAUCCCGACUUACCAACCCGAUGCAAACUGCGAAUACCGGAGAAUGUUAUCACGGGAGACACACGGCGGGUGCUAACGUCCGUCGUGAAGAGGGAAACAACCCAGACCGCCAGCUAAGGUCCCAAAGUCAUGGUUAAGUGGGAAACGAUGUGGGAAGGCCCAGACAGCCAGGAUGUUGGCUUAGAAGCAGCCAUCAUUUAAAGAAAGCGUAAUAGCUCACUGGUCGAGUCGGCCUGCGCGGAAGAUGUAACGGGGCUAAACCAUGCACCGAAGCUGCGGCAGCGACACUAUGUGUUGUUGGGUAGGGGAGCGUUCUGUAAGCCCGUGAAGGUGGCCUGUGAGGGUUGCUGGAGGUAUCAGAAGUGCGAAUGCUGACAUAAGUAACGAUAAAGCGGGUGAAAAGCCCGCUCGCCGGAAGACCAAGGGUUCCUGUCCAACGUUAAUCGGGGCAGGGUGAGUCGACCCCUAAGGCGAGGCCGAAAGGCGUAGUCGAUGGGAAACAGGUUAAUAUUCCUGUACUUGGUGUUACUGCGAAGGGGGGACGGAGAAGGCUAUGUUGGCCGGGCGACGGUUGUCCCGGUUUAAGCGUGUAGGCUGGUUUUCCAGGCAAAUCCGGAAAACCAAGGCUGAGGCGUGAUGACGAGGCACUACGGUGCUGAAGCGACAAAUGCCCUGCUUCCAGGAAAAGCCUCUAAGCAUCAGGUAACAUCAAAUCGUACCCCAAACCGACACAGGUGGUCAGGUAGAGAAUACCAAGGCGCUUGAGAGAACUCGGGUGAAGGAACUAGGCAAAAUGGUGCCGUAACUUCGGGAGAAGGCACGCUGAUAUGUAGGUGAAGCGACUUGCUCGUGGAGCUGAAAUCAGUCGAAGAUACCAGCUGGCUGCAACUGUUUAUUAAAAAAACACAGCACUGUGCAAACACGAAAGUGGACGUAUACGGUGUGACGCCUGCCCGGUGCCGGAAGGUUAAUUGAUGGGGUUAGCGGUAACGCGAAGCUCUUGAUCGAAGCCCCGGUAAACGGCGGCCGUAACUAUAACGGUCCUAAGGUAGCGAAAUUCCUUGUCGGGUAAGUUCCGACCUGCACGAAUGGCGUAAUGAUGGCGAGGCUGUCUCCACCCGAGACUCAGUGAAAUUGAACUCGCUGUGAAGAUGCAGUGUACCCGCGGCAAGACGGAAAGACCCCGUGAACCUUUACUAUAGCUUGACACUGAACAUUGAGCCUUGAUGUGUAGGAUAGGUGGGAGGCUUUGAAGUGUGGACGCCAGUCUGCAUGGAGCCGACCUUGAAAUACCACCCUUUAAUGUUUGAUGUUCUAACGUUGGCCCGUAAUCCGGGUUGCGGACAGUGUCUGGUGGGUAGUUUGACUGGGGCGGUCUCCUCCUAAAGAGUAACGGAGGAGCACGAAGGUUGGCUAAUCUGGUCGGACAUCAGGAGGUUAGUGCAAUGGCAUAAGCCAGCUUGACUGCGAGCGUGACGGCGCGAGCAGGUGCGAAAGCAGGUCAUAGUGAUCCGGUGGUUCUGAAUGGAAGGGCCAUCGCUCAACGGAUAAAAGGUACUCCGGGGAUAACAGGCUGAUACCGCCCAAGAGUUCAUAUCGACGGCGGUGUUUGGCACCUCGAUGUCGGCUCAUCACAUCCCCGGGGCUGAAGUAGGUCCCAAGGGUAUGGCUGUUCGCCAUUUAAAGUGGUACGCGAGCUGGGUUUAGAACGUCGUGAGACAGUUCGGUCCCUAUCUGCCGUGGGCGCUGGAGAACUGAGGGGGGGCUGCUCCUAGUACGAGAGGACCGGAGUGGACGCAUCACUGGUGUUCGGGUUGUCAUGCCAAUGGCACUGCCCGGUAGCUAAAUGCGGAAGAGAUAAGUGCUGAAAGCAUCUAAGCACGAAACUUGCCCCGAGAUGAGUUCUCCCUGACUCCUUGAGAGUCCUGAAGGAACGUUGAAGACGACGACGUUGAUAGGCCGGGUGUGUAAGCGCAGCGAUGCGUUGAGCUAACCGGUACUAAUGAACCGUGAGGCUUAACCUUACAACGCCGAAG
rnacentral:rRNA from 1 species